AUGCCUGUAAUCGCAGAACUUGGCAGACAAAAUCAGAAGUCCAGUUAUCAGAGUGAUCCAACUCAAUUGACAAUCUAUACCUCCCAAAAUAAUGCUCAGGCCCCUCUGUAGGAACAGAGAUUCAUGCAAACUCAGUAGUACCCAGCUCUAUCUCUUCAUUACCCCAAAGGGACCUGACUCAAGCUGAGAAUGGCUUCAGUUUUGUGCAGGCCACACAGUCACAGAUCACACAAUCUUCUGAAGGUGCUAUGGGCUCUGCGGUGAAUCCUGACUCACCUUUCACUUCUAGUAUUCCCCCCGCCCAAUGAAACAGUUAUCUGCAACUCCCUUACAGAUGACAACCAAUCAGCAUUCAUCCCCCAUGGCUUGAGUCACCAUACAACACAGCAGAGUGUUAUCCAUGGCAGAAUACCCCUUUAGCAUAUACAUCUUCUGGGAGCACUUUGACAUCCAUUCUUUUGCUCACAAGUGUGGAGAAUGAGGCAGAUUUCUAUUCUUCUUCUAGCACUUUCUUAACCAUGUCCAGCGCAGUCUCUAUACCUCCCCCAGUGAUCAAUGUCUUCUGUAGUCUGAAUAGUGGCAGUAGUCUGGGCCUUAGCCCAGCAACUCUACUGUCAUGGUCUCAACUCAAAGUCCAGUUGCUAUGACUUCAGGAAAAGCUCGGGUUCUGCAACUGUUCCCUGUUCCAUGUAUUAUGGUUCUGAGGGUGUUACAUGCCUCCAUGACACAAGUAGAUGGUUACAAUGACUUACAGAUGCUUCAGACAGGAUUUCCAUUGGAUUACUGCAGUAUCCCAUUUCCCAUACCCACAACUCCACUGACUGGGAGGGAUGGUGGCCUGGCCAGCAACCCUUAUUCUGGUGACCUCACCAAGUUUGGCUGUGGGGAUGCCUUCUCUCCAGCCCCAGCUACAACCUUUGCCCAACCUAGCAGAACCAGAUGCAUACUCCCCAUACCAUGCAGCAGACAUCCCUGAACCAGGUGCUGCCUCCUGGCUACACUUACAUCAGCCUGACAUACCACACAUGGGUCCCCAGCCUCCCCCAGCACCUUCCAGUAUGAGCCUGCUGUGUUCCCUGUGCCUCCUACCUCUUCCAAGCAGUGUGGUGUAAAUGUCAUUUUGAAUGUCUCAACCACCCCUUUCCAACAGCCAGGUGGCUAUGAGUCUCAUGGAUACGACACUGGAAGAAAAUAUCUAUUCCCUUACAAGCAUUUCUAG